AGCCAUGUCAUGUUGAAACACCGGUUCCUCUUAAGAUCACCAAAGUUAAGCAACGUUGAGUUUGGUCAGUACCUAGAGAGGGACCGCUUCGUAAUACCAGGUGCUGCAAG